CCAUGCAUCUCUUUUGUUUUUUAGUUUAUGAUUUGUAUAUCCAAUUAUGUAUACCUAGUUUUAUCGUUUCUUUAAAUGGCCUCCAAUCUCUCGCAUUUAGCCAACUUGUAUCAGAGAAAAUGCUAAUUAAAGGGAGCGUCUAGUAUAUUGCUAAGAUGAAGAAUUUAUCUGCAUUUGCACCUGCACCUUUUGGUGUUGCCUCUUCGAUAUCUUGAACACCCAAAACAUGAAAUUUAAAGCUGUUUAGACAUUGGAUCGGAGUUUGGAAGCCAUCAAGGAGGUGCUGGUGUCGAUGCAGAUGAAUACCAUUUUGGCUUUUUUCUCUACUUGUUUGCAUAUCUGAGCUGAGCACGAGCACGUGUCGGAGUGGGAGUCGGAGUCGGAGCCACAGUUCUAACUGUUUGUGUAUGUAUAUAUGUAGUUCGAAAUGCUUACAGUUUCCUUCUAGGUUUGUCUGAUUAUGAAGGGUUUUCAAGAAUUCUAGCUUUCAACAGAAAAUCCAUGGACGAAAGACUGUGAAGCUAAUGAAGAAAUUCUCCAUGAAGUAAACGGUUCUGUACUUUUCUAAGUUAACAGUUUCUUCUCUUCUUGGGUAAACCCUACUGACAAACCUGAUUAGAAAAAUUUCUAUUUGCUUUUUAUUUUUACUUUGACAAAGGGUAAAACAAAGUUAUUUUACAAGACACAAAUUUGUGCCAUUUUACAUAAA